rnacentral:lncRNA from 1 species
AGUUUGGAUGCGUUAAAAGGUUUUUCAUCAUCUGCAAAGAGGAUAAAGCUAUAAACGAACAAUUUCAGAGGUGGAUGAUCAGAAAUAAUCCGGUGGACGGUGUGAAGGAGAUUGAUGGUGCAGAUCACAUGGGAAUGCUCUCCAAACCUCUCCAACUAUACAAUUGCAUGCUGGAAAUCGCACAAGAUAUUGUCUGAUUGUUUGAAUUCUGAAUGAAUAAAUAAAUAAAUAAACAAACAAACUUGUAUGGCUGUAUUUGUUGGAUCUGAUAAUAGUUUAUAAUAAACUUGUAUGUGUGUUAAAUUUUACUGGUAGAAUGGAUUAUCAAAUAGUAACCAAUAAUAUUUAAUCCAAUCGUUAAAAUAAUGUAUUUGUAGAAUAUUAUUAAUUAAUAUAUACUUUUAUAACAAUUAUCUUAUCUUGAAAUAACUACAAUUAUUUUCUAACAUGCACAAGACACUAAUACAUUUACGAAACAAAAUAAUAUACUACAUAAGACACUAACACGGGUACGACAAUAAAGUCAGAGUGUAAUCUCCUGCUGCAUAUUUGGCAUUUCACGUCGUCCGAUAUAAAAGUCCUCGGAAUAUCCCUAACCCUGUUGUGUGACCAGAAUUGAUAGGGAGAUCUUAUCUUCCACAUAAUCCAUUAACCAAAAACCGUGUAGCAUGCCAGAAAAUUGGACAUCCCCAAAAAAUAGUUGUUUUUGUCCAACUGAAAACAUUUGACAUGUUUCAUUAUCACCUUUAAAGGAAGUGAAGUUUGUGGCCAUCGGAGAGGAGCCGCUUAACAAGCCAUGAUGCGAUGUAUCCACCUCGCAAACCUUCACUGAUCCCAUCUCCAAAUUUGUUUCACGGAUCAAUUUUUAGAAAUAAUCAUCUAAGAUCGAUGGCAUAUGGUGUUCAAAACUAUCCACUUAUAAAUUUAUAUACGAUUUUAUCCUUAAAAUUAAAUCAAAUUUGAGGAACUACCAUCAGUCAAAACCCCAUCUUAUUCCUAGUCAUCCAUCGUCCUCUUUCCAUUCUAGACAGAAGUAAGGCUGUCAACGGGGCUGUACCCGACCCGGACGUCCGGACCCGGGACCAAUUUCAGGCCCGGUAAAGGGUUUGAACCCAGAUGGUCGGAUCCGGGUCCAGAUUAGCAGGCCCGACUAAUUUAAAUGUUAUAAAAAAAAUAUUAAUAUUUAAAUAAAUUAAGGGUUUAAAUAUAAAUAUUUUAUUGUAUUUUGUUUUACUAUUUAACCAUGGUUAUUUUUUUAUUUAUUACUUAAUAUUUAUUCAUUCUUUUAUCAAUAUUAAAGUUAAGGUUUUACCAUUUUAACACCACUAAAAUGAUGAUCUCAAAUCAAAAUGAUGCAUUUUCAAAUGAAGAAAUUUAUAAUUAUUUAUAGUUUUUAGGUAAAAAAAAAUUAAUUUAUUUGGACCCGGACCUGUCUCAGACUCGAAUUUUUUCAUGGAUCUGGACCAGGUCCGAGUCCAGACAAUUGAGUACUGGGCCCGGAUCCGGCACAAACUCAGAUCACGGGUCCAGCUCAGCCGUCCAAGAAGGGUAAAAAGAAGAAACCUAGGUUUCUGAAUCCAGAAGCUCGCCUUCUGUAUAAGAUCGAAAAGGUGAGUAUUCUGUGGCGUUAUUCUCAACAUGCAUCUUCAUUGGAAGAAACACGAAACUGUUAAAGUGAUCUGUAAACCUUGCAAACCCGGUAGUCAAGUCCACGAAUUUGCUCGAGAAAUCAUCAGAUUAAGCGGUGGAACACCCAUUCAAAUCAUCGGGGACGAUACCAUUAUUUUUUAUCGUGGUAAAAAUUACGUGCAGCCUCAAGUAAUGUCACCCAUUGAUACGCUUUCCAAAAAACGGGUUUGUAUUCUCAAGAUUUUAAUCCCUGUUGUUUCUGAUUCUAAAAUCUUUAAAACUGUAACUUGUUUUUUGGUCUUUUGGUGAUUCAGGCAUUUGAGAAGCCGUAUGAGUAGUUUUGAACACUAGAAAUGAAAACUGCCCCCUUGUUUCUCCGUCCGAUUUGUAAUGGAAUUUGGGGGUUUAUAUUUUAUAUACUGCAGACGUACAGUGUGGAGUGACGAAGAGUUGUAAUAAUUAAGAAGUGAAGAGGACAGCGUAGUAAUUUCGUAAAUAAGCGGAGGUAAGAAUAAAGAAUAAAGAAAAAGCGGUGGAUAGAUUAGUCAUCAGAUCUUAAAAAUGGAAGAAGAAGAAGCUAAAAAGAAGCACUUCGUUUUGGUGCAUGGUGUUUGUCAUGGCGCAUGGUGCUGGUACAGAGUCAUCACUCUCCUUGAGUCCGGCGGUCAUCGUGUUACUGCUCUCGAUCUUUCUGCAUGUGGUAUUGACAGCAGAUCUUUGGAUGAUGUCUCCACCUUCGCUGAGUAUUCUCGACCAUUGAUGGAUUUCAUGAGUUCACUGUCGGAAGGAGAAAAGAUCAUUCUCGUCGGUCAUAGCUUCGGAGGAGUGAGCGUGAGCUUGGCUAUGGAGUCUUUUCCGGAGAAAAUCAAAGCUGCUGUUUUCUUGGCUGCCUUCAUGCCACACCCCGAUUUCCCUCCCUCUCACGUUAUUCAGGAGGCAGUGAAAAACAAAAACUAAAAAUCAAAUUUUUUUUCCAUGAAUUUAAAUGAUUGAAAUGUUGUUAAAUUUGUAUAUGCAGCAUUCAAAGAGUGGUGAAGGUUGGCUGUUGGAUUCCCAACUAGAUUCGAAGACUGGAACUAUGCUGUUUGGUCCCAAGUGUCAGUCUUCUAAUUUGUACCAAUGCACUCCCCUGGAGGUAACUGGAUAAUUUGGAUUGAUAUCAUUAUAUCAAUCAAUCAAUAAAAUUACAAGUUUUUCUCAUUUAGGAUCGCACACUGGCGAGGAUGUUAAUCAGGACUGGAAAUUUCUUUGUUGAAGAUCUGUCCAACAUGGAUCCAUUCUCCAAGGAUAAGUUUGGAUGCGUUAAAAGGUUUUUCAUCAUCUGCAAAGAGGAUAAAGCUAUAAACGAACAAUUUCAGAGGUGGAUGAUCGGAAAUAAUCCGGUGGAUGGUGUGAAGGAGAUUGAUGGUGCAGAUCACAUGGGAAUGCUCUCCAAACCACUCCAACUAUACAAAUGCCUGCUGGAAAUUUCACAAGAUACUGUUUGAAAUCUAAAAUCUGAAAUCUGAAUGAAUGAAUAAAUAAAUAAGUAAACUUGUGUUGGAUUUCUAUGAAUGGUUGUAUAACUAUGUAUGCGUGAG